GACGAACGCUGGCGGCGUGCUUAACACAUGCAAGUCGAACGGAAAGGCCCUGCUUUUGUGGGGUGCUCGAGUGGCGAACGGGUGAGUAACACGUGAGUAACCUGUCCCUGACUUUGGGAUAACUUCAUGAAACUGGAUCUCAUACCGGAUAGGAGCUCCUGCUGCAUGGUGGGGGUUGGAAAGAUUCGGCGGUUGGGGAUGGAAUCGCGGACCAUCAGCUUGUUGGUGAGGUAGUGGCUUACCAAGGCUAGGAAGAGUAGCCGGACUGGGAGGGUGACCAGGCACAUCGGGACUGGGGAGGAGACAGGACGCAUACUGGAGCCAGCGGGGGGAAAUAGUGCACGAUGGGCGGAGGCCUGAUACAGCGACGCCGCGUCGGGGAGGGCGGUUUUCGGUUUAGAAAGCGCUUGCGCCUGGAACGAAGCGUGUGUGACGGUAACUGGUAAAAAAGGACCGGCUAACUACGUG
rnacentral:rRNA from 1 species